rnacentral:rRNA from 1 species
GACGAACGCUGGCGGCGUGCUUAACACAUGCAAGUCGAACGGAAAGGCCUCUUUCGGGGGGUACUCGAGUGGCGAACGGGUGAGUAACACGUGAGUAACCUGCCCUUGACUUUGGGAUAACUUCAGGAAACUGGGGCUAAUACCGGAUAGGAGCUCCUGCUGCAUGGUGGGGGUUGGAAAGUUUCGGCGGUUGGGGAUGGACUCGCGGCUUAUCAGCUUGUUGGUGGGGUAGUGGCUACCAACGCUUUGACGGGGUGUCGGCCUGGGAGGGGGACCGGCCACAUUGGGGCUGAGAUACGGCCCAGACUCCUACGGGAGGCAGGAGUGGGGAAUAUUGCACAAUGGGUGGAAGCCUGAUGCAGCAACGCCGUGUGCGGGAUGACGGCCUUCGGGUUGUAAACCGCUUUCGCUCAUGACGAAGCUUUGUGUGACGGUAGUGGGUAAAGAAGCACCGGCUAACUACGUG